UUUAUGGAAAUACUAGAAUUUCACUAUUCUACUAGUGCUUUGUUUUUGUCUCUUUGGAAACAAAAAUAUUUUUUUGCUGUUUAAAUGGGAACUGAAAAUUUUGUUCCCUAGCGUCUAGUGCCUACCAGCUUCCCAGAAGGCUACCAUGCUAUCUCACCAACAACUUUCCACAACUGGAUAGACUAAAAAUGAUUUUAACACAUGGCUAAACCCAAGUAAUUGGGACCAUGGGUUGCUGAGUUGAGUGUGAUUUGAAGUUUGUCUAUGUCUCCACAGUCCAUGCACACAAUUAUCCUGUUACUGCCUUCCAGUGGCAUCCAGAGUGGGGAGAAUGUAUAUUUGCUUUGCAAAUAGCUCUGCACAAAUGGAGUAGCAGAUGUAGAGGGAUCUGAUCUAUUUGUUUGUUCGACAAUGCUACGUAGCUCAAAUUUUGUGGCUCAAAAGUGGCUCAAAUGGCCAAAACGACGUCGUUUCGAGUACAGAACAACAUAAAAAUGGCCAAA